GGUCUUGUGGUGUAGUGGUUAUCACGUCUGCUUUACACGCAGAAGGUCGCCGGUUCGAACCCGGCCAGACCU
rnacentral:tRNA from 1 species